rnacentral:rRNA from 1 species
GACGGAGGGUGCAAACGUUGUUCGGAAUCACUGGGCAUAAAGAGCACGUAGGCUGCGCGCUAAGUCAGGUGUGAAAUCCCCAGGCUCAACCUGGGAACUGCGUCCGAUACUGGAUGGCUUGAAUCCGGGAGAGGGAUGCAGAAUUCCAGGUGUAGCGGUGAAAUGCGUAGAUAUCUGGAGGAAUACCGGUGGCGAAGGCGGCAUCCUGGACCGGCAUUGACGCUGAGGAGCGAAAGCCAGGGGAGCAAACGGG